AGUGGCGGACGGGUGAGUAACGCGUAAGAAUCUAACUUCAGGACGGGGACAACAGUGGGAAACGACUGCUAAUACCCGAUGUGCCGCGAGGUGAAACCUAAUUGGCCUGAAGAAGAGCUUGCGUCUGAUUAGCUAGUUGGUGGGGUAAGAGCCUACCAAGGCGACGAUCAGUAGCUGGUCUGAGAGGAUGAGCAGCCACACUGGGACUGAGACACGGCCCAGACUCCUACGGGAGGCAGCAGUGGGGAAUUUUCCGCAAUGGGCGAAAGCCUGACGGAGCAACGCCGCGUGAGGGAGGAAGGUCUUUGGAUUGUAAACCUCUUUUCUCAAGGAAGAAGUUCUGACGGUACUUGAGGAAUCAGCCUCGGCUAACUCCGUGCCAGCAGCCGCGGUAAUACGGGGGAGGCAAGCGUUAUCCUGAAUUAUUGGGCGUAAAGCGUCCGCAGGUGGUCAGCCAAGUCUGCCGUCAAAUCAGGUUGCUUAACGACCUAAAGGCGGUGGAAACUGGCAGACUAGAGAGCAGUAGGGGUAGCAGGAAUUCCCAGUGUAGCGGUGAAAUGCGUAGAGAUUGGGAAGAACAUCGGUGGCGAAAGCGUGCUACUGGGCUGUAUCUGACACUCAGGGACGAAAGCUAGGGGAGCGAAAGGGAUUAGAUACCCCUGUAGUCCUAGCCGUAAACGAUGGAUACUAGGCGUGGCUU
rnacentral:rRNA from 1 species